rnacentral:lncRNA from 1 species
ACAAAACUGAGGUGAAGAUACUGAGACUUACAGAUGUCAAGAAAUGUGUCUAAAUGGACGAGGGAAUGUGGAAGGUAGGAAGAACAGAUAGGCCAUCUUGCCCCUGCCAAGAAACAAAGCCCUUGCUAAGAACUAUGGUCUUCUGUGUAUUUUGACUGACGUGUCUCUACUAUACAAUAUGGCCCUGGUGGAGGGUACCAGAGGAGAAGCAACAACCUUGCCAUUCAUCAUCAAAUAAUAUAAAAGGUGAGUUCUUUGCCUUGAGGUAGAAAAUAAAGAUAAAUAUGCACUUCGUAUUUAAUAGUCUCCUAAGGAAGUUUAGUUACUGAUUUAAGGAAAAAAAAUGACACAUAUAUAAUUUAUAGAGAAUGAAG